rnacentral:rRNA from 1 species
GGAUUCCCCUAGUAGCGGCGAGCGAAGCGGGAAGAGCUCAAAUUUAUAAUCUGGCACCUUCGGUGUCCGAGUUGUAAUCUCUAGAAAUGUUUUCCGCGUUGGACCGCACACAAGUCUGUUGGAAUACAGCGGCAUAGUGGUGAGACCCCCGUAUAUGGUGCGGACGCCCAGCGCUUUGUGAUACAUUUUCGAAGAGUCGAGUUGUUUGGGAAUGCAGCUCAAAUUGGGUGGUAAAUUCCAUCUAAAGCUAAAUAUUGGCGAGAGACCGAUAGCGAACAAGUACCGUGAGGGAAAGAUGAAAAGCACUUUGGAAAGAGAGUUAACAGUACGUGAAAUUGUUGGAAGGGAAACGCUUGAAGUCAGACUUGCUUGCCGAGCAAUCGGUUUGCAGGCCAGCAUCAGUUUUCCGGGAUGGAUAAUGGUAGAGAGAAGGUAGCAGUUUCGGCUGUGUUAUAGCUCUCUGCUGGAUACAUCUUGGGGGACUGAGGAACGCAGUGUGCCUUUGGCGGGGGUUUCGACCU